GUUUAGUGCCUUUUUUCAGGUCAGAGCAACUGCCCUUCAAAAUUCCUGUGCACGUCCCUGUCAUUCAAGGUGACAUGAUGAAGCCCUCUGGAUGGCUUAUAUCCAUCGAGGGACAUGUCGUGAUGGGCCCACACCCUUUCUUUUUACACGGAGUAGCUGCUUUCUUCAGCACGUCUUACGUCUUCAACCUUGAGUAUCCUGCCGCUGGAUCGUCGACGCUGGAGUUCAUUCAAAGGUGCUUCCUGGGCAUCACUCCUGAAAGAGGCUCAAAGACCAAGAAGCGGACAACAAUGAACACCUCAUGU